ensembl:lncRNA
CUGGUGUCAACAGCGGCUAAUGACGAGAGCGCGUUGGACCCCAGGCGAGGUUGUUAUUGAUUGGCAUGGCGAGCGAGGUUGCUCCCUACGAAUACGUGAGGUGCUGUUUCCAAGGUAACAACUCUAUGGAGAAUUGGCCACCUGAAAUCCAGACGGAGAGGAAAAGGAGGGCGACCAGCGGUCUGCAGGCUCUUCACUGCGCCUCCGUCCGUCCGGCUCUUUCCUGCGCUGUGGCCCUCAGAGACUAUCAGUCCUCAUUAGCACAAGACGUCUUCCUACCAGCACUACCUUACACCCGUGGGAGGGGGAGGCAGGGAGAGAGAGAGAGAGAGAGACCUUUCUUGAAAUGACGGCCAUUAGCGUUCCUGGUGUGGAGAUCAGUCUACUAUUCAAAGAUGUGCAUACAUGCGUAAAGGCA